GUGAAAAUGUGAUAUUGGGAUGGGUCAAUCAAAAUCUCCAUGCUAUAUUACUAUUGAGAUAUUCUUAUUUGAUUGAGCCGUGCCAAUAUCAGAGUUUUUGCU
rfam:Zostera marina strain Finnish scaffold_8, whole genome shotgun sequence.